rnacentral:rRNA from 1 species
AAUGAACGCUGGCGGCGCGCCUAAUACAUGCAAGUCGAGCGAGAAGACGUAGCAAUACGUUUGUAAAGCGGCGAACGGGUGAGGAAUACAUGGGUAACCUACCCUAGAGUGGGGAAUAACUAGCCGAAAGGUUAGCUAAUACCGCGUACGCUCCUUGGACUUCGGUUCAGGGAGGAAAGCGAUGCCGAGGGUAUCGCGCUCUUGGAUGGGCUCAUGUCCUAUCAGCUUGUUGGNGAGGUAACGGCUCACCAAGGCUUCGACGGGUAGCUGGUCUGAGAGGACGGAUCAGCCACACUGGGACUGAGAUACGGCCCAGACUCCGUACGGGAGGCAGCAGUAGGGAAUUUUGCGCAAUGGCGAAAGCCUGACGCAACGACGCCGCGUGAGGGACGA